rnacentral:lncRNA from 1 species
AUGACAGAUGGCAGUCAGCAGGCUAAGGUACAGCCAUCUGAAAACCUUGACAGCGAGAUCCCUCUAUGUGUAAUCUCAGAAACUACAACUGAAACAGAAAUUCACACUGCAAGAAAAUCACUACAAGCAUUAGCGACUGAAACUGAACAGAUUGAUUUCCAAACAACUGUACUAUUAACCACAGAGAUGCUACCUGAACCAGAAACAGGAGUAUAUGAAUCUGCUCUUCCUACAAGCAGCCAUGGUGCAAAUGAAAUUGAAAGUGAGAAUUUUGUUUAUGUUUCUUUGGAAACAAAGUCUGAUAAUGAUGAUAUAGCAGAUGAAAAGAUGCCAAUUUCCUCAUCUGCAGCUGUUCACAGCUUGGAAACCACAGUACAAGACACAGACUUGGAAUUACACAGCACUGAGAGUCUUAGCACAGAAGGACAAGUAAGCCAGUUGCCUGAUGUAGUUGUGUGUUCAGAAUCUUUUGCUGAUAGAGUGGAGGGUGAGAAAAUUGAAGCAGUGACUGCAGAGCCAGAUAAAGAGGAAGAGGUCAAAUAUAUUUCACUUUCUCAAGAGGAACCUUGUGGAGAAAAUGAAGGACAAACCAAAAAGGUUACUGCGCUCAUUUUAGAUUUGGAUACAGUGCACAUAGAUAGUGUAGACACAUACUCCCACACACCCACAGAUGGAGCUACAGUGAAAGCAGCCUCUGCUAGUGCUCUUUUAAAUGAGACGACACUGGGCAAACAAGAUCAUGAAACACUGGCCCCUCCAGAAGCUGAAAUUUCUGAACUAGCCAUAGAACCAAUUAGCAUCCUAUCUUCUCUUAAUGAGCCAAGUAUGGUGAAUGUUUCAGAAAUUAGUUCAGCAGUAGAACCAGAACAGUCACAGCUCAUCGAUAUAGACACUAAUGGACAAAUGCAAACAACAGCAGCUCCACCUUCUGAAACACAAGGUAGUGAAGAUGCUGCUUCCAGAGGUAUUGGAACAUUUUCUAGGAACAAUGGACCAAAUGCUGCAAUAGCUGACAGAGAGAGCAACUGGACUACAAAUAAUGGCCCUCGUGAAAUCCAACGCCGAUUUAUUAUUCUAGACUUCCCUGAGGGGGAGGAAAUGCAGAGACAUCAUGCUCAUGAAGCUUCUCUUUUCAGUGAACCCACUGAGACACAGAUUCCGGGAUCAGAACGUUCAGUGUCAGAAAGAAUGGAGACAGAAUGUGAUGAUAAAACAGAGUCAGAGGUCAUAGCCAGUACAAACAGACCUUUAGAAGCAUCUGAGCAAUCUGAACUGAUUGAAGCAAGCCUUAAACUACCAACAAGGCAAGUUGGAGAAGUCAUGCAUUUCAUUGUAGAAGAAGAGACAAAGAAGACCCCAUCAGGUGAUGAAAUGCAAUUCACAGAAGUUGAUCCUAAAUGUAAACCUCCAAUCAAGCAACAAAAUGAGGUAGAAACUGAGAUCCAACAAACAAAAAAAGUGUAUGUCUCAACAACAAUAGAGGAGAAACCUGAAGGUGAAGAAGCCAUUGACGUCAUUUUGGGAGAAGAGACAAAGACCCAAUCAGGUGGUAAAACACAAUCCAAAGUAAUUGAACCUGAACUGACACCUCCAAUCAAGCUCCUGGUUGACUGGGGCACUGAGGUACAACCUGAAAAAAUGUAUGUCUCAUUAACAACCGAGGAGAAACCUGAAGUUGUAGAAGCCACCGAUGUGAUUGUAGAAGAAGAGAUGAACAAGACCCCAUCAGGUGAAAAAGCACAAUUCAUGGAAUCUGAACCUAAAAUGACUGUCUCAACACAAAAGGAGAAUGCUGAAGGUGAAGAGGCUGUGGAAGUAAAUGUAGUAGAGGAGACAAAGACAACAUCAUCAGAUAAUAAAGCACAAUCCAUGGAAGCUGAACCUGAACUGACACCCUCAAUCAAACAACAGAAUGACCAGAAAACUAAAGUCCAGUCAGAAAAGUUGGAUGUAUCAACAGAGGAGAAAAUUGAAUGUGAAGAAGCCUUGCAUGUCAUUGAGGAACGGAAUGAGUGGGACACCGAAGUACAGUCUAAAAGAAUGAAUGUUUCACUGACACCAGAGGAAAAACAUGAAGUUGUAGACAACUCAGAUGUCAUUGUAGAAGAAGAGACAAACAAGACCCCAUCAGAUGAAAAAGCACAUUCCACUGAGGCUGAACCUAAACCGACACCACCAGUCAGCCGAAGAAACGAAAAUAAGUUUGAUGUCCCAUCAAACAAGGUGAAUAUCUCAACAACAUCAGAGAAGACACCUGAAGGUACAGAGGUUAACACUGUCACUGUAGAAGAUGAGAUAAAGAUGACUCCAUCAGAUGAUAAAGCACAGUCCCUAGAAGUGGAAACCAUACUGACACCACCAGUCAGGCAACAAAAUGAGGGUGAAACCGAUGUCCAAUCAACAACAUCAGAGGAGAAACCUGGGGACACCAUGCAUAUCUCUGAGGAGGAAAGGACAAAAAAGACAUUGGUUGAUAAAAUGCAAUCCAUAGAAGCUAAGCCUAAACCAACGCCACCAGUCAGAAGACGAAAUGAGGGUAAAACUGAUGUCCAAUUAGAUAAGGUGGAUGUUAUACCGACACCUCCCACCAGACGACGUAAAGGUGAAAGGUUAUCGUUAGAUAUUGAAUCACAUAGAGAGGGAGAAGUUUUUCCCACCCCACCAAGCAGAAGACGUAGAGAGAAAAUAGGAAUUGAGAGUUUUUCACUUGAAUUAGAGUCCCAACCCACACCACCAGCAAGACGACAUAUAGAAAAAGAAGAUAGAAGAUUAUCACUCGAUCUGGAGACCCAACCCACACCACCAGCAAGACGACGUAAAGAAAAAGAAGGUAGUAAACUUUCACUCAAUCUGGAGACCGAACCCACACCACCAGUGAGACAACAUAAAGAAAAAGAAGGUAGUAAACUAUCACUCAAUCUGGAGACCGAACCCACACCACCAGUGAGACGACGUAAAGAAAAAGAAGGUAGUAAACUAUCACUCAAUCUGGAGACCGAACCCACACCACCAGUGAGACAACAUAAAGAAAAAGAAGGUAGUAAACUAUCACUCAAUCUGGAGACCGAACCCACACCACCAGUGAGACAACAUAAAGAAAAAGAAGGUAGUAAACUAUCACUCAAUCUGGAGACCGAACCCACACCACCAGUGAGACAACAUAAAGAAAAAGAAGGUAGUAAACUAUCACUCAAUCUGGAGACCGAACCCACACCACCCAACCAACACCACCAGCAAGACUAUGUAAAGAAGAAAGUACAUUAUCACUUGAUCUAG